CCCAGACAGCCAGGAUGUUGGCUUAGAAGCAGCCAUCAUUUAAAGAAAGCGUAAUAGCUCACUGGUCGAGUCGGCCUGCGCGGAAGAUGUAACGGGGCUAAACCAUGCACCGAAGCUGCGGCAGCGAACGUAUCACUUAAAGCGAUUCAGCGGAUGACGAUUGACGGAGCGAAGCGACGUCAAAGCGUAUACAAAGUCGAGUCGGUUUAAGGAUACGUUCGUUGGGUAGGGGAGCGUUCUGUAAGCCUGUGAAGGUGGCCUGUGAGGGUUGCUGGAGGUAUCAGAAGUGCGAAUGCUGACAUAAGUAACGAUAAAGCGGGUGAAAAGCCCGCUCGCCGGAAGACCAAGGGUUCCUGUCCAACGUUAAUCGGGGCAGGGUGAGUCGACCCCUAAGGCGAGGCCGAAAGGCGUAGUCGAUGGGAAACAGGUUAAUAUUCCUGUACUUGGUGUUACUGCGAAGGGGGGACGGAGAAGGCUAUGUUGGCCGGGCGACGGUUGUCCCGGUUUAAGCGUGUAGGCUGGUUUUCCAGGCAAAUCCGGAAAAUCAAGGCUGAGGCGUGAUGACGAGGCACUACGGUGCUGAAGCAACAAAUGCCCUGCUUCCAGGAAAAGCCUCUAAGCAUCAGGUAACAUCAAAUCGUACCCCAAACCGACACAGGUGGUCAGGUAGAGAAUACCAAGGCGCUUGA
rnacentral:rRNA from 1 species